AUUCACACAUUCUUUCCGGGGAUUUUUUUUUUUUAAUGAAAAGAUUGUUGAUAUAACAAGGUUUUGAAAAAUUAUAUACUAUACAUAAUAAUUUCUUACUAUAUUCACGGUGGCUAAGAUUCAAAUACUUUCGAUGCCAGCUACAUGAACCCAACGGUUGUUUUUAAUCAACCAUCAGUCAUGUUACUUGGCAAAUUCCUUCUAAAAUGAAAGGAAAUGUGAUAUGCAUAGAGAUCAACUGGUUGAAGAGCAAAAAAAUCAACAUUUCCACAAGGAUUUGAGCUCAGUACUGGCCCUAGACCAAAGGGUGCUCCAGGCAAGGAAGAUCUACUUGUUCCACUUUUGAAUACCAUUUUAAAUUGCAUUUGUAGCCAUUUUUACGAUUGCGAUAGAAGCAUGAUUUCAGGAGCUGCAUGCAUGAUUUAUCCAUGUCAUACAGUUGUAGGGCAGUCUUGAUCUCUACUGCAGUCCAUGUAUUGGUACCAGCUGAACAGCACACCCACAGUAUUAUUGCCUAUUUAAUUAAAAGAUAAGGCAUAAUAAACAAAUAUGUCCAAAAGAAGAUAUGUAGAGCUUACAAUCUGCCAGACAAUAAGCUGUACAGCUCCAGGAUCCAGACUACAAAGCAACUUUUCUUCAGGGGGGUUGCCAACCCUCCAGGACUGGCCUAGAGUCUCCAGGAAUCAUCAUCAAUCUCCAGGUGACUACUGGAAGCAAUCCUGGAGAUGUUAGUAAUUUACAAAUACGAAUACGACAAAUAUUUCUAUACCACUUUUCAAUAAAUGUUCAGAGAGAGAGAGAGAUAACAUAACACAAAUAGGCUCCCUGUCUCCAAAAAGGCUCAC